AAAUAAAUUUUGUUUCAAAUAAAAAUCUGAAGUGGCCGGAUGCCUCUUAAAGAGUAACAAAAGUGUGUGAAGGGAGGCUCAAGCUAAGAUUUUGCUCGUGAGCACAAUGGUAUAAGCCUGCCUAAUUAUGAGACUAAUUGGUUGAAUAGAGACGAAAGUUGACCAUAGUGAUAUGGGAGUCCCAUGUGGAAGGGCUCUCACUUAACAGAUCAAAGGUAUGUUGAUGAUAACAGACUGAUGACUCCCAAGAGCUCUUAUUGAUGGAGUUGUUUGGCACCUUGAUGUUGACCGAUC
rnacentral:ncRNA from 1 species